CAUCUCAAUGGAACUGAGCUGCAUUUCCACACAUGACCUGAGGACAGGGGUGGUGCUGUUUUUGGAAGAAAUUAUCUCUGUGUUUCUAUCCCUGUAUAUUACAGUGUUAGCAAAUAAAGCUUCAUCCAUCAUAUAAUAAAACUUUAUACAACUUUCCAAUAUUUCCAAUUUUACUCUAAGAUCUCUGCUUGCUGUCAUUCAAUAGGGACACUGUGUAAUUCCAUGAAAUAAAAAUCGGCCCUGAUCAUGUGAUGAUGACGUAGCUGUAAAGAAGGAGUCUUCUCUGCUAUGUUACUACAGAGGCUCUACUCCUUCCUUGAAAAGCAGCCAGAAAGCUAUUUCUAUGGCAGCUCCAAUAAGAGUAGAGGAUCACUAUACACAGACCUGGCUUUAGGCGAGUGCGUGUCCUCCAGCCUCAGCUCAGAAGGUGGACGUACACACUUUUCAUCCACUACGACACUUUUCUUUUAGUUCACAUUGGAUUUGCAAUAGGAAAUCCAUACCACAAACCCACAGUGAAUCCACCACAUCGGAACACUUACCGCUCCAUAGACCUGUAUGGAAGAGGCAUCGGCUAAAUGACACCGUACAUGUUAGCAUACAGCUGAAAUCCCAAUUCUACAGGCUUCUGAGGAUUUCUCACUGGAUCAAUAUAGGGAUUUACUCUGGUGAUUUGUACUGUGGGAAGUUUCAUCUUUAACCCCUUAAGGACCAGGCCCAUUUUAUUUUAGCAUUUUCUUUUUUUUCCUCCUCGCCUUCUAAAAAUCAUACCUCUUUUCUAUUUCCAUCCACUGACCCAUACGAGGGCUUGUUUUUUUUACAUCACCAAUUUUACUUUGUAAUGACAUCACUUAUUUUACCAUAAAAUGGACGGCACAAGCCAAAAAAUAUUAUUGAUGUGGAAAAAUUGAAAAGAAAACCGAAGUUUAGCAAAUUUUGGAAGGUUUUGUUCUCAUGCUGUACACUUUAUGGUAAAAACGACAUGUUUUCUUUAUUCUGUGGUUCAAUACGAUUAAAAAUGAUACCCAUGUUAUAUGCUUUUCUAUAAUUGUACCGCUUUAAAAAAAACUAUUUUAACAAAAUUAGUAUGUUGGAAAUUGCCCUAAUUUGACCACCUAUAAAUUUCAAAUUUUUCAGUAUAUGAGGUGAUAUGAGGGCUCAUUUCUUGCACCGUGAUCUGUAGUUUUUAUCGGUACCACUUUUGCUUAGGUUUUACUUUUUAUUCAU